UCUUCGGAUGGAAAUAUAUAUUUCUUAGCGGCGGACGGGUGAGUAACGCGUGAGGAACCUGCCUUGUACUAGGGGAUAGCCUCGGGAAACCGGGAUUAAUACCCUAUGAUACUUGAGGAUCGCAUGAUUUUCAAGUCAAAGCGAUUAAGCGGUAUAAGAUGGACUCGCGUCCCAUUAGCUAGUUGGUGAGGUAAUAGCUCACCAAGGCGACGAUGGGUAGCCGGCCUGAGAGGGUGAACGGCCACACUGGAACUGAGACACGGUCCAGACUCCUACGGGAGGCAGCAGUGGGGAAUAUUGCACAAUGGAGGGAACUCUGAUGCAGCGACGCCGCGUGAGCGAUGAAGGUUUUCGGAUCGUAAAGCUCUGUCCUAAGGGACGAUAAUGACGGUACCUUAGGAGGAAGCCCCGGCUAACUACGUGCCAGCAGCCGCGGUAAUACGUAGGGGGCGAGCGUUGUCCGGAUUUAUUGGGCGUAAAGGGUGCGUAGGCGGCCUUGUAAGUCAGAUGUGAAAUCUCACGGCUUAACCGUGGUAAGCAUUUGAAACUGUGAGGCUUGAGUACAGGAGAGGAGAGUGGAAUUCCUAGUGUAGCGGUGAAAUGCGUAGAUAUUAGGAGGAAUACCAGUGGCGAAGGCGACUCUCUGGACUGUAACUGACGCUGAGGCACGAAAGCGUGGGGAGCAAACAGGAUUAGAUACCCUGGUAGUCCACGCCGUAAACGAUGAGUGCUAGGUGUC
rnacentral:rRNA from 1 species